rnacentral:rRNA from 1 species
GACGAACGCUGGCGGCGUGCUUAACACAUGCAAGUCGAACGAAGUGGCGAACGGGUGAGUCAUACGUAGGUAACCUGCACUCCUUUUUGGGAUAAGCCUUGGGAACGGGGUCUAAUACCGAAUAAAGGGGGAUGGGCUCGCGGCCUAUCAGCUUGUUGGGGGGGGGAUGGCCUACCAAGGCGGGGAGGGGUAGCCGGCCUGAGAGGGUGACCGGCAACAUUGGGACUUGGGUACGGCCCAGACUCCUACGGGAGGCAGGAGGUGGGGAUAUUGCACAAUGGGCGAAAGCCUGAUGCAGGGACGGCGGGGGGGGGAUGGAGGCUUUCGGGUUUUAAACCUCUGUUGUUAAGGAAACGUUACUUACCCAGAAAGGGACGGCUAACUACGUGCCAGCAGCCGCGGUAAUUC